AGGCCUUUACUGACGCUAAAGCUCGAAGUGCGGUAUCGAACAGGAUUAGAUACCCUGGUAGUCCGCACGGUAAACGAUGGAUGCCCGCUGUUUGCGAUAUACUGUGAGCGGGCCAAGAGAAAUCGUUAAGCAUCCCACCUGGGGAGUACGCCGGCAACGGUGAAACUCAAAGGAAUUGACGGGGGCCCGCACAAGCGGAGGAACAUGUGGUUUAAUUCGAUGAUACGCGAGGAACCUUACCCGGGCUUGAACUGCAGGAGAACGAUUCAGAGAUGAUGAGGCCCUUCGGGGCUCCUGUGGAGGUGCUGCAUGGUUGUCGUCAGCUCGUGCCGUGAGGUGUCGGCUUAAGUGCCAUAACGAGCGCAACCCUUUUCAUUAGUUGCCAUCAGGUAAUGCUGGGCACUCUGGUGAUACUGCCACCGUAAGGUGUGAGGAAGGUGGGGAUGACGUCAAAUCAGCACGGCCCUUACGUCCGGGGCUACACACGUGUUACAAUGGGGGGUACAGAGAGUCGGAUGUACGCAAGUACAUUCUAAUCCUUAAAGCCUUCCUCAGUUCGGAUUGGGGUCUGCAACCCGACCCCAUGAAGCUGGAUUCGCUAGUAAUCGCGCAUCAGCCAUGGCGCGGUGAAUACGUUCCCGGGCCUUGUACACACCGCCCGUCAAGCCAUGAAAGCCGGGGGCGCUUGAAGUCCGUGACCGCAAGGAUCGGCCUAGAGCGAAACUGGUAAUUGGGGCUAAGUCGUAACAAGGUAGCCGUA
rnacentral:rRNA from 1 species